GAAAUGAGUAGUUGCUUAAGCAUUCAUGUUAGGAUCAUACAAUCAAUUAUUUUCUGAAUGUAUCAUCUCUAUUUCCAAUAUUUGAACACACAAAGAAACUAUAAUCUCCUCCUUCACCUUAUUGGUCUCUUCUUUACAGCAAUUUAGUCAUAUCAAUAACUACUAUUUCUACCAAUAUAUUCACCCUCAUAAUCUCCAACUAUAAUACUGUACCCUCACAGCUUUCAGCACACAAUUAUCCUCAUUCCAAUCACUGGAAUCCUUCACAUAGAACUGCCAUUCACAUUGCAGUGUUUCACACAAACACAGACUCAUUCUCUCUGCUGAACUACAAUCAGAUUUCAGCAUUCAAUCUUUCUUCUUCUCAAAUAAUACUAAUCACAUUUCCAUUCCAUAAUUCACUUCACAAUAUUUAAAAACUCUCAAUCCUCUUAUUCAAAGAAAAUAACAAAUAAAAGAAAAGAGGUAGCACCAAGCUUACCCCGACUCAUACUAUUACAGCGAUGGCACCUUAAUUAACUUCUACAACUCCUAUAUACUUUCUCCUGAUUCUCCAAAUUCUAACCAUAAUUUUAUAAUUAACUACUUUUAAGAACUAAAUCA
rnacentral:lncRNA from 1 species